rnacentral:ncRNA from 1 species
GCACGAAGGUUCUACGCAGCUUCCUCAAGUAAUUGAGGUCGAAAACGAGGUGAAUUGCUGGAAGCCUAAAUUCGCAAGAAUAUGGUAAUCAGCAGCCAAGCCAUGAAUGUCAUGGAAGGUUCAGAGACUAUCCCGAAAGGGAGUACUUCUCUAAUUUAGAGCAGGAAGCGCCUCGCAUCCGUUUUAGCGGAUGAUGAUAUAGUCCACCCCUUAUGGAAACAUAAGG